CAAGUCGAGCGAGCGAGGAAGUUUUCGGAGGAAUUGCUGAGCGGCGGACGGGUGAGUAACGCGUGGGUACCUGCCUCAUACAGGGGGAUAACAGUUAGAAAUGACUGCUAAUACCGCAUAAGAUCGCAUGGUAAAAACUCCGGUGGUAUGAGAUGGACCCGCGUCUGAUUAGCUAGUUGGUGGGGUAACGGCUCACCAAGGCGACGAUCAGUAGCCGACCUGAGAGGGUGAUCGGCCACAUUGGGACUGAGACACGGCCCAAACUCCUACGGGAGGCAGCAGUGGGGAAUAUUGCACAAUGGGGGAAACCCUGAUGCAGCAACGCCGCGUGAGGAAGAAGUAUUUCGGUAUGUAAACUCUAUCAGCAGGGAAGAAAAUGACGGUACCUGACUAAGAAGCCCCGGCUAACUACGUGCCAGCAGCCGCGGUAAUACGUAGGGGGCAAGCGUUAUCCGGAUUUACUGGGUGUAAAGGGAGCGUAGACGGCGCUGCAAGUCUGAAGUGAAAGCCCGGGGCUCAACCCGGGACUGCUUUGGAAACUGUAAUGCUAGAGUGCUGGAGAGGUAAGUGGAAUUCCUAGUGUAGCGGUGAAAUGCGUAGAUAUUAGGAGGAACACCAGUGGCGAAGGCGGCUUACUGGACAGUAACUGACGUUGAGGCUCGAAAGCG
rnacentral:rRNA from 1 species